GACGCUGGCGGCGUGGAUAAGACAUGCAAGUCGAACGCUGAUUUUAGAGUAGCAAUAUUCUGAAGUCGGAGUGGCGCAAGGUGCGUAACACGUGGGCAAUUUGCCGUGAAGACUGGAAUAACUUGCUGAAAGGCGAGCUAAUACCGGAUGUGACAUUUGGGAGGCAUCUUCCGAAUUUCAAAGUUGGGGACCGUAAGGCCUGACGCUUCACGAUGAGCCCGCGGCCUAUCAGCUUGUUGGUGAGGUAACGGCUCACCAAGGCUAAGACGGGUAGCUGGUCUGAGAGGACGACCAGCCUCACUGGAACUGAGACACGGUCCAGACACCUACGGGUGGCAGCAGUCGAGAAUUUUUCACAAUGGGCGAAAGCCUGAUGGAGCGACGCCGCGUGGGGGAUGAAUGGCUUCGGCCCGUAAACCCCUGUCAUUUGCGAACAAACCUCGUUAUUUAAAAGAUGACGAGCUGAUUGUAGCGAAAGAGGAAGGGACGGCUAACUCUGUGCCAGCAGCCGCGGUAAUACAGAGGUCCCAAGCGUUGUUCGAAUUCACUGGGCGUAAAGGGUGCGUAGGUGGUCGGGUCAGUCUGAUGUGAAAUCUCCGAGCCCAACUCGGAAACUGCAUUGGAUACUACUCGGCUGGAGGGUUGGAGGGGGGACUGGAAUUCUCGGUGU
rnacentral:rRNA from 1 species